rnacentral:tRNA from 1 species
ACAUUGUUGAUUCAGUGGUAGAAUUCUCACCUUCCAUGCCAGAGACCCAGGUUCAAUUCCCAGCCAAUGCG